rnacentral:rRNA from 1 species
GUCUGUGGACAUGCCACCCUGAACAUUUCUGAUCUUGUCUGAUCACCUAAACUAAGCAGGAGCAGGUCUGGUUAGUACUUGGAUGACAGAACAAGAGUAGAAAAGGCAGAGAUU